GACUUAGACAAGUGCAAAUUCGUGAGU
rnacentral:piRNA from 1 species